rnacentral:rRNA from 1 species
GAGCUGGGUUUAGAACGUCGUGAGACAGUUCGGUCCCUAUCUGCCGUGGGUGUCGGAUACUUGAGAGGAGCUGUCCCUAGUACGAGAGGACCGGGAUGGACGCACCUCUGGUGGACCUGUUGUCGCGCCAGCGGCAUAGCAGGGUAGCUAAGUGCGGACAGGAUAACCGCUGAAUGCAUCUAAGCGGGAAGCCCCCCUCAAAACCAGGUCUCGCUGAGAACCGUGGUAGACCACCACGUCGAUAGGCCAGGUGUGGAAGCGUGGUAACAUGUGAAGCUAACUGGUACUAAUCGUUCGAUCGGCUUGAU